AACAUCGUAUUUCACUUGCGAUGUGGAAGUACGUGAAAAUAUGUUGCAAUUUUUAUUGCAAAUAAUGCAAGCGCCACUCAGGUUUUGCGGACUUAGACUUUUUCGGUUUGGUUAUAAAUUCCUUUAUGGAUACUUUGAAUCCAUUCUGACUCUUGCAAUUAUAUUAAUACAAGCGGAGAAAUUUAAGAAAGUAUUGAAAGAUUGUGGGUGAUAUAAUAAAUCUACAAAAAAAAAUUUAUCGAUAAAUAGCAUUGAUUUAACAAUCAAU